UCUUUUUUCAUGGACGCCCCUGCUUAUUUCAGCAAGACAAUGCCAAGCCACAUUCAGCACGUGUUACAACAGCGUGGCUUCGUAAAAAAAGAGUGCAGGUACUUUCCUGGCCCGCCUGCAGUCCAGACCUGUCUCCCAUCGGAAAUGUGUGGCGCAUUAUGAAGCGUAAAAUACGUCAGCCGAGACCCUGGACCGUUGAAAGACUGAAGCUCUACAUAAAACAAGAAUGGGAAAUAAUUCCACUUUCAAAGCUUCGACAAUUAGUUUCCUCAGUUCCCAAACCAAGGGAGUAGGUUUGAUUUUGAGAUUGGUGGGGACACAAAAGUGCUCCAAGGCAGCACUCUGAAAGUUUCCUUUUUUUUUUUUUUUACAUUAGCAAUCAUAAUUUCACGUCAUGCAGAUGUUAUAGGGUAAAGCAACUUAAAUGAAAGCAAAGGAGACAACUUGGAAGAGUUCUCAUCUUUACUCUUUAGUUUAAGGCUGUAGUGCAACUGUGCAUCAUACUGCCAAUUAUCAUAGCCUGCUGUCCAUCAACAACAUUAGAAAUACAUUCAUGCAAUACAACAUUGUAAAUAAAAAUAAAUGAACUGUAAUAAUCUUUUCCCCAACUUGUGUUUAAAUCACUCACAUUUUUUCCUUUCAACUACUUCUUUCUAUUGCUGCUUUUGUACUGUAAAUAUGUUUGUCACUAAUACUCAAAUACAAGCAGAUUAAUGUCCACUGGUUGUUCCUAUUUGAAAGAGCCAAACACAUGCCUCCGCCGGUCUGUCACAGAAAUGAACUGCUGUUCAAAAAUAUGUUGAUGCAUGACGGAUACAUUAAGGACAAUGACCAUAGAGCUUGAUGGUACAGUUACUGCCUGAGCAAAAAGGCUUUAGAUAGAUAGAUAGAUAGAUAGAUAGUACUUUAUUGAUUCCUUCAGGAGAGUUCCUUCAGGAAAAUUAAAAUUCCAGCAGCAGUGUACAGAGUUGAGAUCAAUUUAAAGAAAAAAGUAAAAAGUAAAUAAUGGGGGUUUAAAUGGAAACAAAAUAGAGAAAUAUUACAAAAAGAAUAAAAACAAUGGGAAUAACAAUAUAACAGUAGAAUAAGAAUAUAACAAGACAAAGUAGGCAGUAGUGACCAUGUUACUUUUACUAAAUAUGAAUAUUACUUCUUAUUAAUGAAUUAUAUUUUAGCAUUGUAAAAUCACAUGAUCAUCUAGUGAGGGCUUAUUGUAUUUCCACCACUUUGGUAUUUUCAAACCGUUGCUCACUUCUACACAAAUACAUGAAACUAAAAAAUAAUUUCAAAAAUAAAACGGAAAGGUGAAAUCCGGCGAUCUGAUUGGUUGUUAACCGUGGUUUAAAUAUUCUAAAGCCUUAUCACAGCGUAGGCUAUCACUCCGCCUCAGGCACGCAUGACUGGUAUGAAUGGAAGUUGUUGUCAUGUAUCCAUGACAACGGACUGUUGCAGGCCGUAGUAAAAGACAGCUGAUGUUUUUACGAUGUUAAAAAACGGACUAAAGUAGUUGAAUUCACAUGUUUAAGGUUAACUUUCACCUCCGGGGAGGGUUAACAAUGGUAAAGGGGAUUAAGCAUUGACUUUCACCUGAAAAAAAGCGGAAGAAAAGACGAUGAGAUGACAUUAGAGGAAACGUGACCCCGGAAGUAAAUGCGUCAUCCCAUAGCUUAUGUUUGUAAAUUGUUUUUUAAUUUUUUUUUAUAAUGCAGCGUUAACAAAACGUCUGUAUUUUUCUAAUAUAGCGUUAUAUUUUUUAUAAUAUAGCGUUAACAAAACGUCUGUAUUAAUCAUGACCCCGGAAGUAAAUGGUAAGGUUUUUGUAGGGGGGAAGAAAUUUGGCGUGACACUCUCGUCCGCUCGCUAGCAACUAGCAUGUAGGCUAGCUUUUACAAGCAGAAGGAGUGACAGCGGGGACAGCCAAUCACACGUAAGUUAGCGUGAAACCGGCAACCAAUCAAGGAGCGAUAUUUAGGUUAGAGGCGGGACUUCUAGCAGAGACGGACAUUUAACCCUUUCUGUGCCAUAAUCAUUGACUAAACAUUACGGGCAGCGCUUGUAUUGAUAGUGACUACACAGUAGCGGCUGGAUAUUGGUAGGGACGUGUCCCUAGCGUCCCUACCAAAUUCUACGCCCUUGUCCCAAACGUUUAUUGAGUGUUGUUAAAAGAAAAGGUGAUGUAACACAGUGGUGAACAUGCCCUUUCCCAACUACUUUGGCACGUGUUGGAGCCAUGAAAUUCUUAGUUUUUUUUAUUAUUUGCGAAAAAAAUAAAUAAAGUUUAUGAGUUUGAACAUCAAAUAUCUUGUCUUUGUAGCGCAUUCAACUGAAUAUGGGUUGAAAAGGAUUUGCAAAUCCUUGUAUUCCGUUUUUAUUUACCUCCAACAGGAUUUCCCAACUCAUAUGGAAACACGGUUUGUAUUAGUGUUGUCACGAUACCAAUAUUUUGGUACCGGUACCAAAAGUAUUUUUGGUACUUUUCGGUACUUCUCUAUAUAAAGAGGACCACAAAAAAUGUCAUUAUUGGCUUUAUUAUACAAACAAAUCUUACGGUACAUUAAACAUUUCUUAUUGCAAUUUUUCCUUAAAUAAAAUAGUGAACACACAAGACAACUUGUCUUUUAGUAGUAAGUAAACAAACAAAGGCUCCUAAUUUAGCUGCUGAUGUAUGCAGUAACAUAUUUUGUCAUUAUUAAUUCCAUUAUUUUGUCAAUAUUAUGAUUGAAAAACUGUGCGAUCUUGGCCAUAUCGGCUGCUUGAACACAUUCGUAAAGUGGUUCGGGAAGAAUUAAAAACUAUGCUUGAGUUGGGGGUGAUAGAAGAAUCCUACAGUGCAUGGUGCAGUCCCAUUGUCUUAGUAGCGAAGAAGGAUAGAACUGUGCGGUUCUGUGUGGAUUACCGCAGGGUGAAUGACAUUUCACGUUUUGACGCGUACCCAAUGCCUUGGGUCGACGAGCUGCUAGAUCGGCUGGGCACUGCUCGUUUUUUUACGACACUGGAUUUGACGAAGGGCUACUGGCAGAUUCCCUUGUCUACAGAGUCCCGAGAAAAAACGGCCUUCUCCACUCCGGAAGGUUUGUACCAAUUCGUAACACUUCUGUUUGGCUUGUUCGGUGCGCUUGCCACGUUCCGGCGCCUCAUGGACCGGUUGCUGCGGCCCCAUGCGGCAUACGCGGCUGCCUACCUGGAUGACGUAAUCAUUCAGAGUAGCAGCUGGGAACAGCACAUGCGGUGGGUGGGGGCGGUGCUCGAGUCCCUGAGGCGGGCGGGGCUCACCGCCAACCCGGCGAAGUGCGCCGUUGGCCGGAGGGAGGUACAGUAUCUGGGGUACCACUUGGGGGGUGCGGCCCCAAGUGGACAAAACGGCGGCCAUCGCGGCCUGUCCACCUCCCAAGACGAAAAAAGAGGUGAGGCAGUUUUUGGGAUUGGCGGGCUAUUACCGCCGGUUCAUUCCCCAGUUCCCCACUGACUGACCUCACCCGAAAGAGUGCUCCAGAACUGGUCCAGUGGACGGAGCAGUGCCAGCGGGCAUUUGAGAAGCCGGACGCGUCGGGCCAGGGACUGGGGGCGGUGCUGUCCCAGCGGGUGGAGGGCGUCGACCGCCCCGUACUCUACAUCAGCCGGAAGCUCUCGGACCGGGAGGCAAGGUACAGCACAGUGGAGAGGGAGUGCCUCGCCAUCCGGUGGGCGGGGGGGGCCCUCCGCUACUACCUGCUGGGGCGCGCCUUCAGUCUCUACUCAGACCACAAACCGCUAUAAUGGCUCCACCGCAUGAAGGACGCCAAUGCGCGGAUCACCUGGUGGUACCUGGCAUUACAACCCUACAACUUCCGGGUGGUCCACAGGCCGGGCGCGCAGAUGGCCGUGGCCGACUUCCUCUCUCGCCCAGGGGCGCGGGGGAGUGGGCGCGGCCAGACGGGUGUCCGGCCGGAGUCUGGCGGUAGAGGCAUGUGGCAAAGGCCGUGGUCCGCGCGUUCCCUGCGGGCGGGGUGUGUGCAGCGAUGGGCCAUGGAGCAGCUGACAGGUGAGUGGAUAAUCUCAGCUGGAACGAGUUAUCUAAUCACCUGUCCCUUUAUUAGGAGCGCGGGAGACCUUGACAGGGGGAGGAACGCGGAAGAGACGCAAACACGAGGCACAAGCGGGAGGAAUGCAGGGUGCAUGGACAAACCCGAAAAGGACUGAGGAUUGCAAGUAUGGGCUGAAAAGUCCAAGAGAAAUUUGAGUGUAACGAAAAGAUAUUUGAACAUAACGAAAAGAUAUUUGAGUGUAACGAAAAGACAUUAAAAAGUGUAAACGCUG